AAGAAGAAGAAGAAGAAGAUGAUUAGAUGAUGAUGAUAAUGAAGACAUGGCUGGGCUGCUGUAAGUUUUGAGAGUGCUACUUAAAUUAGGUUUAGCGUGUGUGUGUAGGGUUAAAAUGCAUCACUUCAAAGUUCAAAAUGCAGCACUUCAACUAAGGUUAAAGUCCGUUCGGUUCGAUUAGUUUUUUUUAUGAAUUAACUGAACAAAACCGAAAUAUUGAAAUUUUUAGAAAUAUAUAACCGAACCACACCAAUUGGAUGGAAAACUGCACACCCCUGGCUAGCAAUACACAGAUGGAAGUUUACUCAUUUUGCAUGAGAAAUACAAAUUAGCGACCACAAUGGGAUUUAACAAGUUAUGUGAUUGCAUAUGAAAGUAAGUCUCACUUUUCUUAUUGCUGGUCUUGUUGUUCAAGGCUUAGUUACCAUAUACUGGUUUACUACACCUGCAAGUUAGCGCCUUUUUGCAUAUUAGGCUCUUAUGAAUGACUUGUUUGUUGGGCAUAGUUAUUAAAGGGCCAAAGCGAGG
rnacentral:misc_RNA from 1 species